rnacentral:sRNA from 1 species
AAAUUUGAAUUUUUUUGUGAAUGAUUAUUAUUAGAAUCUGUUUCCCAAACUUAAAAUUAAAAAACUACAAACACAUCAUCCUAGUCAGCAUUUGUUAACGGAACAGUAGCACCGUCUAAUUAUUUGGGGCUUUCCACCGGAUUUACAUAGUUUGUAUUGUAAAUUCAAAUUAAAUCAAAGUUCAUGUAGUUAAAAGCACAUAAGAAAGUUUCGUGUAUGAAAGCGAUAAAGUAACUUAGUUCAUGGUGGAAUAUGUAACACUCGCCCCGCCAUAUAGGCCAAGACGGCAUGUUAUUCAUCUGAUCUUGCCAAAACGUUUUUUUUAAACUUCACACACAAACGAAAUAUUGCACACAACUCCUCACGCUUACUAACCUGAGGAAAAAGGGAAAAAAAGGGGUGAGUAAAGAAUACUCAGUGAGGAGAAUCAACUCUGCCCACUGAAACAUAAAACACUUUCCAAAGCUAUACAACCAUCAUCAUAACAUAUAAACUUAGACACACGCAAUCAACUUAACAUGCUUUAACUUCUAGUAACACAUUCAUAACAAUCAUCUUAUAUAUAUAUAUAUAUUAAUAUAAACAUACACAUCAUUAGGUCCAGUCAUCCUCAUAAGUGAUGACUAGAACCUCAUAAGUGGAGGCUGGCCCUCGUGGCUCAGAACCUCAUAACAUGUUUUUGACCAGCUGUUAACCGGUCAGUCCAUCACUGUCCACAUCACUAGGGAGACCACGGCCAAUAGCUCGAUUCUCCCCAGUCUUACAUACAUCAUACAUACAUAGAUACUCAUUAUCAUACUUAACAUACAUAUACUUAUAAUAUCAUACAUAACUUUACAUUAUCAAACAUCAUACUCAACAAUCAUCAAAUCAUAUCAUCACAUAAUCUUAUCCUAUGCAAUCAGAUCUAAGCCUACAUAUCAUGCGUCAAGAAGCAUAACAAAAGAAAAUGAUACCAUGUUUCGCAAAUACCACCUUCACCUUAGCCUAGUUGAAGAUGACAACACACUUCUCCUUCUCUUUCCCCUUAGACAAUCUUUAUUGUAACCAUAUAAUCAUAAGCUCUAACUUGGUUCUCCAUAAACCAGGACCUGAAUCCAUGAGUCAUGAAAGCUCCUACAAAGCUUCAGCUCAAGCCGAGUUCAUUUUCCCAAUCAAACAAUAAAAAUCGUUAGGAUUUUCUCUAUAUAAAUCUGUCUCGAAAACAUACGCAUAAGUCAGGAACUAACCAUUACAAAUGCUAUCCCACCGUUGAAUAUGUAGCCAGUAGUAUCAUGAAUAAUCCCACGAAGUUUCAUCCCGAUCAGAUUUCACAAUAUCCCACGUUCUUCUGAAGAUGAUGCAUCAGAACUGAUAUUUAGGUUUCUGCAACUUGAGAUGAUUCUGGACAAACUUCCAAGAUCAAUUCCGGAUGGAGCUUAAAUCUGAUGGACAAGCUGUCAGCUACUAUGAGUUCCUUGAAUCAAGAUCUUUCCAUAGACAUCUUAAUCGUGAUCUAAUUCCUUCUGGUCCAUCGGGAAAACGCAUCAUAAAACCAGUAGUCACACACUGUUCUUGAUUUAUACUUAACACAGAUUUGGACAACUUCUGCAGUUACUUGCCCAGAAAGAAACACUCAUAACUUCUCGAAUAUAAACCCGAUUGAAACUCUGUCAGUUGCUAUGGCUUCAUACAACGUGAUCUUUGCAGAUAUGUCUUAUUUAGAAACUGAUUCUCUCUGGUUUGACGGGAAACAUCCUUGUAUAACCUCAACUUGAAGCUACCAUUCUCUCUUCAUCUUCUUCCUUAUAUGCUUCUAGUUUUACCUAGCCCCCUUCUCUGAUUUACUAGGAUCUGCUUCAUCUCACUUCUCCUUACUGUCACAACGAAAUCUCCAUCUCUUAAUGCCUUUCCUUUGCAGUGGUGAUGAUCUCUUUUCCUCUGCCACGUAUCGUCCUUCGUCUCCGCUUCCUCUCAUCUUCCUCACGGUUAUCCUUCAUCUCUUCCCUUUCUCUUCUCCUCUUCAAGCGUUCCACAAUGACUAACAUACUCAACAACAACGGUAGUGGCUGACCUUUAAUUAGGGUUAAGAUUAAGACGACGCGGUGACGCUCGGUUUAGGAACGGUUGCAUGAAUCGCUUUGGUUUCCUUCACUUGUGAACUCUCUUCUCUCUCGGAUAUGGUAACGACCCCACUAUAGAACUCAUGUGUUGAUGCUUUGGAUUUGCUUUCUCAAGAUUCUUAUUUGGUUUCCGUUAGUGGCUCAGAGAAAAGGGAGAUAGAUUCACCUAUAUAUAUGUGCAACCAACAACACACGUAACAAAACCCUUUAACAUUAGGGAGUUGCUUCACUUGGGUUUAAAUGGGCUCCAUGGGUUCCAUGGGCUUUGCUUUUUGACAAAACGAAUAGGGUGGGCUAUUGAUGUUGGGUUUGGAGUGUUACAGAAUAAGUCGUUCUUUAUCUUUUUGGUUUUAGUUAGGUGUUUCAACUCUUUCUUCUGCUAAUCAAGGUUCAGUGUUAAGAUAGUGAGAAAAAAUACUCAUAAUGCAAGCAUAUAAUGGAAGCCAUAAGAUCAGUGUAAACUUUUAAGUUUCAUGUUUGAUCUUAUUGUGAUUUAUUAUGAGUCUGCUAUUAACAAGCUACUAUUUUACUCCUUUCUCUUUAGUAAUAAACAAUGUUGUACUUCUUUAGUUUGUUUGGUUUGUAAAUUUACUUGUUGUAUGUUGUGUCUUCAACUCGGGUUCUUCAAUGAUGGACGAUGCUGUUGAUAUAUAUAUAUAUAUAUAU